AAAAAAAUGCCUAGUGAAAGAAAAAAAGAUAAUAGCUUCCUGCAGGAAUAUUAUCUCUAGAGGAGACUACUGGCUCACUAGUCACUGCUACAAAUAUCUUCUAUGACAAACAAGCACAUGAUUUACAAUCAUUACCAAGUAGCUUGAUUCUGUGAAAACUUAUAAAAUAUAUAUUUAAGCACCAUUUUUCCCACUAAGCAUGAAUACUAUCCAUUGUAAUUGCCUAUCAAUAAAACCUCGCAAUGUCAUGUUAAUAGGAAAGUGUCCUGGUUGAUGCCCAUCUAAUUUAUUUUCCCUUGAUAACUAAAUG
rnacentral:misc_RNA from 1 species